GAUUAACGCUGGCGGCGUGCAUAACACAUGCAAGUCGAACGAUGAAACUCAUUAGAUUUCUUCGGAAUGAAAAUGAAUGGAUUAGUGGCGACCGGGUGAGUAACGCGUGAGUAACCUGCCUUACACAAGGGGAUAGCCUCUGGAAACGGAGAAUAAUACCCUAUGAAACCAGACAAUCGCAUGAUAAUCUGGUCAAAAUGUUUAGUGGUGUAAGAUGGACUUGCGUCUGAUUAGCUAGUUGGUGAGAUAAAAGCUCACCAAGGCAACGAUCAGUAGCCGGCUUGAGAGAGUGUACGGCCACAUUGGGACUGAGACACGGCCCAGACUCCUACGGGAGGCAGCAGUGGGGAAUUUUGCACAAUGGGGGAAACCCUGAUGCAGCGACGCCGCGUGAUUUAGAAGGCCUUCGGGUUGUAAAAAUCUUUUGUAUAGGAAGAAAAUGACAGUACUAUACGAAUAAGGUCCGGCUAAUUACGUG
rnacentral:rRNA from 1 species